CUUUAAACUAUCCCAUCAACCCCUGCGCAUAACCAACGAAGAUGGCGGACUUUUCAAAUCAAAAUGAAUUUUUCAGCUGACACAUUCAGCCUGAUUCUACUGAUUCACACUGACUACGGAUCAACCAUCUAAGAAUAAAACAAUGAAGAAACUGUCCCAGACAUGGCGGCAACAGAAACAUGUGAAUGGGAGGGACAGAAGUACAGAAGGAAGGGGCCAUCAUGCUGGUACAAAGACCCAACAUGAGAGCACUGCAGUACAUGGUGGAGCACCUAGGAGGCGCUAUUUGGGGAAUCAUCCUAUCAAGGUUGGAGUAGGUGUUAGUAAGAAGCUGAGCCCUGGUAGUGAGGGUACCAGUGAUGUUUGCAGACGGUCAUCACGACUACA